GCCGGUGUGAUGGAAUUGGCAGACGUGCAAGACUCAAAAUCUUGUGUCCGCGAGGACGUGCGGGUUCGACCCCCGCCACCGGCACCA
rnacentral:tRNA from 1 species